CGUAAAGAACUUGCCUCACAGCUAGGGACAACAUUUAGAAAUGAAUGCUAAUACCUAAUAUUAUGAUAAUAGGGCAUCCUAUAAUUAUGAAAGCUAUAAGCGCUGUGAGAGAGCUUUGCGUCCCAUUAGCUAGUUGGAGAGGUAACGGCUCACCAAGGCGAUGAUGGGUAGCCGGCCUGAGAGGGUGAUCGGCCACAAGGGGACUGAGACACGGCCCUU
rnacentral:rRNA from 1 species